rnacentral:lncRNA from 1 species
CCAGCUCCUAGGGUAGGGUGGGGGGAGCUUGGUGCUCUGCCAGAGAGGAGCUGGGUGGCACCGAGUUCAGACAGCCUAGCUUUGGACCCUGACUCUCUCCUUUGCCCAAGACACCAUCCGUUCUGAUUUUUGAGGCGGUUUCCCAGAGGGAGAUGGUCCCCGUCUCCUCAGGUUUGAUGUGAUGAGACUCUAUACAAAAU